rnacentral:snoRNA from 2 species
GAGAGCAAUGAUGAUUAUUGGUUUUCCCUAUUGGUUUGAUUGCCCGCAUGAUGGCAUUUUGUAUUAGCUCUAUCUGAGCACUC